rnacentral:rRNA from 1 species
UGUGUAAACACUCCAUGGGCAUCACUCCGCCGCAGAAGUGAGUAAGUACAAGUGUGCUCGUGAUUCGUGUUACAGUAGCCGGGAUAAAGGGUCACGAUCCCACGAGUUUGAACUAAUUCCAAAAUCCCAUCCUCAAUUCAAAUUGCAGGCUGCAACUCGCCUGCAUGAAGUCGAAAUUGUUAGUAAUCACCGAUCAACCAUACGGUGGUGAAUUCGUUCCUCAACUUUAUACACUCCAUCCGUCACACUACAGGAGCUAGCCCUGUCCAAAGUCUUUACUUUAAUCGCAAGGAGGGGGAUGUCGAAAGCAAGGCUACUAACUGAAGUGAAGUCUACUAGUGUCAUGCAUCGAGAGUGCUCUUC